GACUCGUUGGCGCAAUGGUAGCGCGUUCGACUCCAGAUCGAAAGGUUGGGUGUUCGACUCACUCACGGGUCA
rnacentral:tRNA from 1 species